rnacentral:rRNA from 1 species
UACGUAGGGUGCGAGCGUUAAUCGGAAUUACUGGGCGUAAAGCGUGCGCAGGCGGUUGUGCAAGUCAGAUGUGAAAUCCCCGGGCUUAACCUGGGAACUGCAUUUGUGACUGCACGGCUAGAGUACGGCAGAGGGGGAUGGAAUUCCGCGUGUAGCAGUGAAAUGCGUAGAUAUGCGGAGGAACACCGAUGGCGAAGGCAGUCCCCUGGGCCUGUACUGACGCUCAUGCACGAAAGCGUGGGGAGCAAACAGG